AGCAGGUUGUAACACUCAUCGGAAGAAGAGGACCAAAGCGCACCGUGCCUCAAGGCCCUCCAUACCUAAACCCCCUCUAGACCCAACGCGGACCCUCAGCCAGAGCUGGUGAUGUGUAGGACCUUCCUUUCAGAGAUGACCCUAAUGACCUCCACUACAAACCUGUUGCAAAGAGGAAGUCAGUUAAAUGCCUGUCCAAAUUAAUGGUAGAGCCUUAGAAAACAAGCCAACGUCCUACGAAGCAGAAAGAAGAGAAGAGAGAUAAAAGAAGAUGGAAUGCGAGAGAUCUAUUUGAAGACAGGAAAUUAGUUGGGAGAGGAGCCUCCUAGGAAACGAGAGGGAAUAUAUCUGUGGGUACUGUUCAUCGUGUGAUCCACACAGCAGAGAAGCCAAUCCAAUCUGCGGCUUCACCUGCCCCCAGAAGGCCUCUCUCAACUGACACAUGAAGAAGCACGACUCCGACGCCACCUCUCCUGCUCCAUCUGCGAUAAUAAAUUUGAGAAGGACAGCGUGAUGGCCCACAAGAGCUGAGGCUGAACCAUCUGAACUUAAUGAUCAGCUUGGGCUCACCGACCCAAAGGAGUCAAGACAGAGCUGGCUCCGGACAUAGCUAAGGUUGCCGCCUCCCUGGGCACAUGUUCAUUCAACACCUAGGCGCAUAUGCUGAUUUCUCAUAUAAAUGCACCCAUUCAUUCAGGUUCCAGACCAGUUAACUAGGCCCAAGACGUCAUAACGUAAGACCCCUAGACAUAACAAGUCCGGUCACAGGCCAGUUAGCUAGGCCUAAGACCCCUAGACAUAAUGAGUGCAACAAAAUCAGUAGGCUUGUUAUGGGUUUUGUAACAUAGGAGCAUGUCUGGCAUAAAUGUUAACACAUGUUAGCAUUAGUGGUUGUAGUCCAGAUGGUUGUGAACCGGUGUGGUUCAGUAGUGUGGUUGUGCAUUUGUUGAGAAGUUUUGUCGCAGGUCUUUGUGUCGAGCUAGCAUGCAAGGUGAGGUUAGCGGCAGGCUAAUGUUAAUCUGAUUUAAUCAGGCUGUAAUACGUCAUUAAUUGGUAUAUAAAAAAAAAUGAAACUGUCUGCAAAAUCUUGUAAAUGUUCCUUACAAGCCAGAACGCUAAACAAUUACAUUAAAUGUGUAGUUAGUGGUUAGUGUUGGACUAGUAACCAAAAGGUUCCAAGAUCAAAUCCCUGAGCUGACAAAGGAAAACACCUGUUGUUCUGCCCCUGAACAAGGCAGUUAACCCACUGUUCCUAGGCCUAGAAUUUGUUCUUAACUGACUUGCCAAGUAAAAUAAAGUAUACCGGUUGUCUGUG